rnacentral:lncRNA from 1 species
GGUUGUUGUUUGUUGAUGUGGUUCAUGAAUAUUUUUCUUUUUCUAUUAUAUAGAUUAGACCGUUGGUUUUUACUGUUUGCAUGUUUUUACUCUAGUCAUAUUGGGGGCCUUUCGGCCUUGUUGUUCGCGGCGUUUUGCAUUUGCGCCGAUCUCCAUUUCAUUUGCGCCGAUUUUUUUUUUCAUUUGCGCCGAUUUUUUUUUUACAGGUAAAUUACAGGUGAAUAGAUAUUAGAAGAAGUGGUAUGAGUGCCAAUGAAUGAACUCUCAAUCCAAGUCAUGUUCUUUUUCUUUUAUCAUUAUAGACCUCCUCAGUUAGCCACUUGUACAAAUUUAAUGAAUUAUCAAUCAUAACUUGUAUAUAACUGUUGUCCCCUGCUCACCACGGGUAGUGGAAGAAGUCCUACAAGAUACAUCUCCAGACUUUACAUUGACUGUACCCGCUGUCUUUCGGACAUCUACCACAUGGUUAUGCUCGUUCUGUGUUUUGACAAUAGAAUCCGUGGUGACUCUGGCUGUACACGAUUUUAUGGUACAUUAGUAAAAUGUGUUUCAGGACACUUAUCUUCCGAUAUGUAUGGCCCUCGAUGAUUAAAGAAUUGACUCCUCGACUCGUUUCAGUGUACAAUAUGUCUAUCAUGUUACUAUG